ensembl:lncRNA
GUUUCUUCUGUACUCGGGGUUCAUCCGUGCCAUCGGCGUGUCCGAUGGGCAGCGUCAGUCCCUCGGCUGGCAUUACGUCCCCGACGGACUGCCCCGCCUGCCCCGCUGGCUACUUCUGUAACAGCAGUGCUCUGACAGAGCCGUCCGGAGCCUGCAGCCCAGGACAUUUUUGUUCCCUGGGAUCCACGGAGCCUUCCCCUGUCUCGCAGCCUUAUGGAGAUGUCUGCCCCGUAGGACACUUUUGUCCUGGGAGUAGCGGGUCACCCAAACCAUGUCCUGUCGGCAGCUUCCUCCCAGAGCGUGGAGCUUCUGCCCGCUCUCACUGUCACCGUUGCCCCCCAGGGAAAUACUGCCCGACUCCUGGAAGCUCACAGCCCACAGGUCUGUGCUCUGCAGGUUUCUUUUGUUCUGGAGGGGCAGAUAGCCCCACGCCUCGAGCCUCUGUGUUCAGCUGUCUUUGUGAGAUACUGGAGGUUUACACCACAAAGAAAGACGCCGCACUCUGGAUUCACAAUCUGCCCUGCUUCAAUAAUUCCAGUAGUUCUGGAAGCGACGCUAACUGGAUCGAAGUGGUGACGGCGACGGAGGCGGACUCGGUGACUCACUCACCGCUGUGCCUCAAGAGUCCACAUCGGAGCUGCUCCUCGUACAGAGGAGACAUCUGCCCUAAGGGUUUCUAUUGUCCCGUGGGCUCUUCCUACCCCCAGCCCUGUGAAGCUGGAUCUUACUGUGACCAGAUUGGGCGAGAGGCCCCUGCAGGGCCUUGUGCUGCAGGAUAUCACUGUCCCAAAGGCUCUUUGAACCCCCAUGCCACCCCUUGCCCCACAGGACACUACUGCCCCGCCGGAACUCCUCUUCCUCGGUCGUGUCCCAUUGGGACCAUAAAAAGUUCCCUGGGUGGGUCUACGGUGGGGGAUUGCCAGAUGUGUCCCCCAGGUCACUUCUGCCACCAGAGAGGAAUAGCUGAGCCAAGUGGGCAGUGUGCAGAAGGCUACUAUUGUCCUGAGGGACAGAGCUCCGAGAGACCACAACAACAUGUCUGCUCACUGGGACAUUAUUGUGAAAAGGGAAGUAUCAGACAGAAGGCCUGCCUCCCCGGCAGCUACCAGCUAAGACAAGGCCGCGGCAGCUGUGAGACAUGCCCUUCCGGUUUCUACUGUCGAGAUCAAGGAGUGACCCAUCCACUCCCUUGUGAGAGAGGAUUUUAUUGUCCCGGCGGAUCAGCAAAUCAACAUCCCUGUCCGGCUGGAACUUACGGAAACAUGUCAGGACUGGUUGAAGAGUGGCAGUGCUCAAUGUGUGACCCUGGGAUGUACUGCAAAGGAACAGGGAGGACUUUUGCCAGCGGGCCGUGUGCUGCAGGGUUUGUUUGUGUUGGCGGAGCCUCUGAAUCUUCACCACUCGAUAAUGUGACUGGCUUCCCAUGCCCUCCCGGCUUCUUCUGCUCCGUGGGGACUUCUUCUCCAAAAGCAUGCCCGAAAGGAACAUUCAGUGAGCAGAGCAGGCUGGUGGAGGAGUCCCAGUGUCGUAGCUGCAUUCCAGGCUUCUACUGUUCAGAGAUCGGCCUCUCGGUAGUCUCUGGGCCCUGCCUGCCAGGUUUCUACUGUCUAGAGGGAUCCCAGACUGCUGCCCCAAUGUCAAGUGGAUCUGGAAGUGUUUGUCCCGCGGGCCACUACUGUGCAGAGGGCAGCAGUGUUCCCACACCCUGUCCGACUGGCUCUUACCGGAAUGAGACUGGAGGAAAAAGCAAAGAUUACUGCAAAACAUGUCCUCUUGGCUGGUUCCAGGAUUUAUCGGGCCAAACAGAGUGUGAUCCCUGCCCUGCUGGGUUCCACUGCCAGUACCCGAGUAGCAGCCCCACCAUGGGAGGCCCUACUGGAGUCUCCAGCCCUCUGCCCUGCCCGGCCGGCUACAUAUGUCCCAGGGAGAAUCCAGACAGUCACCCUUUUCCCUGCCCCAAAGGCACCUACAGCCCCCGCCACGGUCUCACCUCCACAGGUGAGUGCUUUGUGUGUCCAGCGGGUCAGUUUUGUGGGUCUGACGGGUUGGUUCAGCCUUCGGGGCCGUGUGCUGCUGGGUUUCUGUGUUUGAUGGGCGCCACAGUGCCCAACCCGACUGACAACAGAACUGGAUCUCUCUGUCCACCCGGGAAAUUCUGCCAACGGGGGCAAACAGCAGGGGAUUGCUGGGCAGGGUUUUAUUGCGACUGGGGCUCCAGCAGAGCAGAUACGGCUCUGUGCCCUGCUGGUUUCUUUUGCCCCAGAGGGACACUGGUCCCAAUCCCUUGUUCUGCAGGUACAUUUAGCUCUGAAACAGGAAACAUACAUCAAGACAAUUGCACUACAUGCACACCUGGGUACUACUGUCAAGUUAAAGGUACUAUACAGCCUUCCUUAUGUCCCGCUGGAUACUACUGUCCUCCGGGGAUGUCUCUAGGACGAGAGUUCCCCUGCCCUCCUGGCACUGUGCAGAACCGACUCGGAGCCUCCGAUCCCGACGCCUGCCUGCCCUGUCCUGCCGGAAUGUUCUGCUCUCAACCCGGUCUGUCGCAGCCAACAGGACCUUGCGAGGCCGGCUACUACUGUCCUGCUGGUUCAACCAGCCCUAACUCUACUGCUUAUCAGGGGAAUUCUACCAUAGGACACCUUUGUCGUCCAGGUCACUAUUGCCCCUCUGGCAGCGGCUAUCCCCUCCCCUGCCCGGCAGGCUCUUAUUCCAUCUUGCAUGGACUGAGGGGAGUUGAUGGAUGCCUGCCCUGCCCCCCUGGACGGUUUUGUGACAGGCCUGCAAUAGCAGAGCUCUCCGUUGCACCCCCAUGUCAUGCUGGGUAUGUGUGCCUGGGUGGCAGCUCCAGUGCCACCCCAUCCGACGGUUCCCAUGGCUACCUCUGCCCCUCGGGCCACAGCUGUCCCGUUGGCUCAGCAAGUGAGGUGCCCUGUGAGACCGGCACGUACAGUCCUGCCACUGGAGCAGCUCACUGCUUAAUAUGUCCCAAAGGGUUCAUGUGUUCCUACUUAGCAACUCAAGAGCCUUCUGUCUGUCCAGCUGGUCAUUUUUGUCCUGCUGGGACCGUGCUGCCUGAGCUCUGUCCGUUGGGGACUUUCAGCAACAAGACAGGAGCCUUUUCUCUCUCUGUGUGCACACCCUGUCCCUCUGGAGUGUACUGUAGCUCAUACGGAGCCUCAACACCAGACGGUUCUUGUUUGCAGGGUUAUUUCUGCACGGGGGGAGCCACACAGCCAACACCGCACAGCUCUGACAACUCCCCAGGGAAUGGCCCUUGCCCCGUGGGCCAUUACUGCCCAGCAGGGUGCCUCGCCCCAAUUCCCUGCCCUCUCGGCAGUAUUCGCAAAACCAUAGGAGGGGUGUCCAUGGAGAGCUGCUCCGCCUGUCCCGCUGGUCACUACUGCUCUGCGGAGGGUCUUGCUAGCCCCAGUGGCCCGUGUGCAGCUGGUUUCUACUGCCCUUUUGACUACUCCUCGACCACUCCAUAUGCCUUCUUGUGUCCCAAGGGCCAUUACUGUCCAGAAGGCUCCGUUCUGCCCCUGCCUUGUGCCACAGGAGAGUACCAGCCAAACCCGGGCUCAGACGGCUGCGUCCCAUGCCGAUCUGGGUUCUACUGUGAGGAGGCCAUAGUGGGAGAGCCAUGGCUCUGCCCACCACACUCAUUUUGCCCUGCAGGCACAAUGGUGCCUCUGCUCUGCCCCAAUGGGACAUACACUCCUUCAAACCGGGGAGGACUACGAGAAGAGCGAGAGUGUUUACCCUGCCCUCCAGGGAAAUUCUGCAGGGCUGGCAGGAUCCAGGGUUUGUGCGCGGCGGGCUAUCUUUGUGUUUCUGGCAGUGCAGAUGUCACCCCUGAGGCGCCACUGUCUAACAUGACACAGUGCCAGUGGGGCAUGCAGUGUGCUGGACCAUGUCCACCAGGUUUUUACUGUCCUGAGGGAACGGAGGAAGCUAAGUUCUGUGCUGCAAACACCUUCAGAAGCUCCCCGGGAGGUGCCAGCCUACCUGACUGUUUACCCUGCCCACCUCAGCAUUGGUGUAAACCGGGAGACCCAGUCCUUCAUCCGUGUCCGCCCGCGCAUUACUGUGACGGUCUGCCUGGAAGUGACUUUAAUGGAGGCACAGGACCCAGGCCAUGUCCGCUGUACACCUAUCGAGCUUUACCGGGAGCAGGCAGCAAGGGUGACUGCCUGCCCUGCCCUCCUGGUUCUCACUGUAACAGAACAGGGCUUACAGACUACUCCAACAGUCGGUGCCCGCCUGGUUUCUGGUGCAGCGGGUCUGGACCCCCCAUUCUCUGCCCUGCAGGCACCAAAAGGCCCCGUCCUGGAGCUGCUUCACCGAGCCAAUGUGAACCGUGUUCGGGGGGAACCUUCUGCCCAGAUCCGAGAGCAACAGGGAGGCCCAAUGUGGAGGGGAUCCCCUGCAGGGCCUCCUAUCAAUGCCCAACUGGUGCAGUCUCGGAGAGUCUGUGCAGAGCCGGCUCAUACUGUGGACCUCAUACUGAUGAGCCUGCAGUCUGUCCCAAAGGGUAUCUUUGUCCUGAGGGAUCUCAUACCUACAACACCCCCAAGCAACUAUGCCCUUUUCCCUACUACUGUCCAGCAAACAGCUCCUUCAUGAGGUCCUGCAAGGGGGGGUUUAUGCCCAUCAACACCAGCGACCUCAGAGGAUCCAAAAACAGCUGUUGUCGUGUGUGUGAGGGGGGCACUUAUCGCCCGUACCUCUCCCCCAUCCUGCAAUGUCUUCCAUGUCCACCGGGAUACUUUUGCUCUCCAGGUACAACCGACUACAAAAGUUCCCCCUGCCCUGUUGGGUAUCGCUGUCCAAAGGGAGCCGCCCAACCAAUAGCCUGCCCUCCUGGCUUCUUUGGUAACAUUACUCAUGCUGAGACAUUGAGUGACUGUCACCUGUGUCCAGCUGGCACCUUCAACCACCUGCUUGCUCAGAAGGCCUGCUUCCCCUGUGGCAGCUCCUCCACCUCAACAGCCGGUUCUUCUUCUUGCACCUGUAUCGGUAAGAAUCGGGCAUUUCAGCACUCGGAUGGUUCAUGUUUGUGCAGAACUGGUUUCAUCUUCUACAAUGAACUGGACUUCAAAAGUUCUACCUCUGACAGUGAAUUGGACUGCCAGCCUGAGGUGAACAGACGGUGUUCUGCUGGUCAGGUACGUCUGGCAGCAUCCAGGGAGUGUGUGACACCUUCCCUCCACUCCUGCAAUACAACCUGUGGACAACAUGGAGGAACUCUGGAUGUGGCGAUGGGCAUCUGCCGGUGUGAGCGAUAUGUGUCCGCUGAAGAGCUUUGCAACACGUCCUGCCUCUUCACACUACCUCAGCUCUCCGCCCAGAUCUCACCAGACGGGCACCUGCUGCUCAGCUUAAAAGAAAGAGACAAGAUGGUGUGGGCAAGGACUGUGAUGGAUGUUUUAGGACCAGAUAUCCACGCAAAGGGUAUUGGUAAAAUCCAUUUGAUCCAGUUUGAUCCUGAAGGCGUGUUUGGUUGGAUUCCAACACAGAAAGAGCUCAUCAAUAACUUUCUGUCAGAACCGAUUGAACUCCUGAAGACAAGACAAAGAAAGAGGAGAGACAUGGAAGAUGCCGAGGAUUAUGAUGCUUCUGACACAGCUGUCCUUCCUCGUAUCCCCAACCCCAUUGUCUGUCUGUCCUCGGGUGACAUGCUCAUUUUCCAUCUCACCAUCAACCACACUGACCGACAUCGGAGCCACUUUCCAGUGUAUCAGAAAGACCACCUGUUUAACAGUAAUCCCAGUUGGGACUUUGGUGCCUUCAGACGACUGCAGAUACUCAUGAAGCAGACCAACUUGAACUCUACAAGGUUUGCCCACGUGUUUUCAGCAGCUGGGAAGUACGCGUUUGUCGACAGCGCCGUCCCAGAGCGGAGUAUGGUGGUGGUGGUCAGUGAUCAGGGGACAGUCUGUGACCCUCGGGCCUCCGUCUUCCAGCCCAUGACCCCGGCACAGCUGGUGAAGCACGGGAUUAUCAAGCAGCACAGACUCAACCUUCUUCCUGACUGGGGAGUGAUAGCAGGGGUCCUUGGUCUGCUGCUGGUUCUCGUUGUGGUUUUGACCACCACCGUGAUAGUUCUGCGACCCGGUAAAGCAAAACUCGUCUCCCAAUGGAGGUAUAAGCCCAAGUGGCGCAGCCUCGGGGAGCCCUUCUGUCCGGUGGAUUGUGUUUGCAGUGAAGACAACAAAGUUGUCCCAAGCGUAGGUGGCUUACUAGGUAGUAGGGGUGAAGGAGAGGGAGCAGAAGCCGAGGAGCCCGCUGUUUCAAAAGGAGGAAAUGUUCCAGGGCGCUGCGAUUUGGAGGAGUUGAAUGUCAAGACUCUGUUUGACAAACUGGAGGAUCAGAACUUACACAUCGCCUCACAACUGGCCCGACACCGCAAAGACACACAGGAGUUUUAUAGAAACAUCUGUCAACAGACUGAAACACUCAAGAAUGUCCUAGACAAUAUGGAUCAUAGAAAACUAAGCUUUCUAAAGGAACUGCUUGUCCAUAAUGCAAUGAAGAAUAAACCAUUCGACUGCAGUGCAAGAGGGAGAGAUUUACAAGUUGAGACCUCUACAGCAUUACUAGGAGAUGUACUCCAGUCAGUAGAAGCUCUUCUCUGCAAGCUGGCGGGAGAAGCUUGGCAGAACCAGGAUUUAGCCGCCCCUCCAUACUGUCACAUUGGUCCUCGUGAUGCCAGGGAAUGUGAACCACGAGCUGGAUACAGACAAUCUGGUGACAACAUGUGUUAUACACAGUACAUCUACCGAGCACAGAGUCCUGUUUCAGUGACCACAACUUGUCCAGACUGCUACAGAACAGUCUGUCCAGGAAAACAAUGA